UACGAAGGGAGCUAGCGUUGUUCGGAUUUACUGGGCGUAAAGGGCGCGUAGGCGGCUUAACAAGUCACUUGUGAAAUCUCCGGGCUUAACUCGGAACGGCCAAGUGAAACUGUCAAGCUAGAGUGCAGAAGGGGCAAUCGGAAUUCUUGGUGUAGCGGUGAAAUGCGUAGAUAUCAAGAGGAACACCUGAGGCGAAGACGGGUUGCUGGGCUGACACUGACGCUGAGGCGCGAAAGCCAGGGGAGCAAACGGG
rnacentral:rRNA from 1 species